rnacentral:ncRNA from 1 species
UACCUGGAAUCAUUGGAAUCAACUAUUCCAAUGUGUGUAUUGAGUACUUAAGAGUACUGGAACCUUAUAAGAGUAAACUUUAAUUUUUCCCCUCCUAACUUCUGUGCUAGCAUUGUUAUAUGUUUAACUUAUAUAAUAAAUCCCACAUUACAUUGCUGCUACUUUUGUUUGAAUGGCCACUUAUCUUUUAAACAUAUUAAAUGAUAAUUUUUAAAAAGCUUCAUCUACCCCCCACACCCUUGCCAAGAAUGUUUUCAUUAAUCAAGAACAAAAUCUGGAGCUUCCAAAAUGAUCAGACACCAUAUAGUUUGUUUUUUGGUACCGGCGAUCGAACUUGGGACCAUGCACUUGUGAGGCAGGCAAUGGAACCAUUGAGCUAAAUCCUCUGCUAGAUACAAUAUAGUUUUGAUCGUAAGUGAUGUUGACUGGCAUUGCUGCCCUGUUAUUCCCAUGGGGCGGCUUCUGGGAAAUGCCUUUGGGUUCCAGGGGGAAUAUGGUUGCAAAGCUGAAACUUAAAUAAAUUGACAAAAGGGCACCAGGAAUGGAAACUGGGCCUUAAUUUUACUCAGCACGGGGAAAGCUCACCCAGCCAGGACCUAGCCAGGACUGACAGAUUGAUAGCUCUUUCUUGAUUUGGUGGGUGGUAGUGCAUGGCUGUCCUUAGUCGAUGGAGCGAUUUGUUGAUUAAUUCUGAUAAUGAAGGAGACUCUGGCAUGCUAACUAGUUAUGUAACCCCAAGAGGUCAGUUGUACUCCGACUUCUUAGAGGGACAAGUGCCAUUUAGCCACCAGAGAGAUUAAGCCAAAAGAGGUGUGUGCUGUCCUUAGAUGUCCAGGGCUUGAACACUAAUACUGACUGGCUCAGCAUGUGCCUACUCUACACCAAGAAGGGCUUUGAAACCCGUUCAUUAUGAGGAUCAGUGAUUGCAAUUAUUCCCCAUGAAGGAGUAAUUUCCAGUAAGUGUAAGUCAUCACCUUGCAUUAAGUCCCUUCCCUUUGUACACACUGCCCUGCGGCUACUGCCCACAGGAUGCUUUAGUGAGGCCCUCAGAUUGGCCCUGCUGGGUUGGACUCACGCCCUGGUGAAUCGCUAAGACAGUGGAACUUGACUAGAGGGAGUGAAAACACUAACAGGGUUUCCCUAGAUGAACCUGCCGAAGGAUCACUA